rnacentral:lncRNA from 1 species
UUAUCAUUAUGACCAAAAUACCUACAAGAACUUCUUAGAGGAGAAAAACUUUAUUUUGGGUUCAUGGAUUCAGAGAUUUCAUUUAUAGUCUGCCAAUUCCAUUGCUCUGGGCCCAAGGGUGGGUGAGGUGGAGGAAAUUUGCUCAGCUCCUGGCAGCCCAGAAGCAGAGAAAGAAAGGAGUGCCAAGGGCAUUUGCACCCUUCUAGAGCACACCCCCAGUGACCCACCUCCUCCAACCACACCCCACAUUCCUACAGUCACCACACUCAAGUUCAUCAGACUAGAUAAGCUGAUUAGAUUACAGCUCUCACAAUCCAAUCAUUUCACUUCUGAAUAUUCCUGCAUUAACACAGGAACUUUGGGGGGACAGCUCAGAUUCAAACCCUAAGAACCGAAAUACACACACAUUUAGUUAAGCUACAAGCAAGUGAGAUUAAUAUUAUUGAGGAGAAAAGAGUUAUAAAAAAGAUUUUUCAAUCAAUUAUUUUAAGAGAAAGUUGCCUCUAAUUUUCACAGUUCUAUUGUCUGCAGCAGGUAAGACUAGUUCUAAGGCCACUGGGUUGGCACUAUAUUGCUAUUUUUAACAUGUAUAAUGAUUAAAUCUAGAACUCAAUAUGAAUUUGUGAUACCAGAUGAUUUGAUUAAUCCACUUGAAAGUGAUGCAACAUAGUAAUAAGCCAAGCUUGCAGGAAAUGUUAAUUAAGCUAAAAAAUUAUUUAGGGCACAAAGGAAUUACUUAAUUACAAAAAGUAUCGAAUUCAGCUAAAACUUUCAUCUGUCCUUUAAAUGAGAGCAACAUUAUUUAGGAUAGUAUUUCCAACCACACAUUUAGGUGAAAAGGGUUUCAGUGCAGUGCAGCCAUUAGGGCAAAAGCAACAAAAUGUAACAGAACAUUUGGCAUUCCCUUUAACAGUUUUUAGCACUUCAUUAAAAUCCACCAAUAAAAUUAAAAUAUUUCAUAUUAGUGCUACAUGUUUCAGUUUUGGUCUCUCCUGCAGACUCUUGAGACAAAAUUUUAGGUACAGUUUGUCUUGGAAACCUCACAUUGGAAGAACAGGAAGUGAGACAGAGGAAGGGAGGGAUGAGAGCUCACAGAAAUGAAUUAUCAACCAGCUAGCACAACAGGAGCUUAAUCACAGCAGGAAAUCCCCGUAUCCCACAGGAGUGAAGGAGCU